rnacentral:rRNA from 1 species
GACGUAGGGCGCGAGCGUUGUCCGGAAUUAUUGGGCGUAAAGAGCUCGUAGGCGGUUUGUCGCGUCUGCUGUGAAAACCUAAGGCUCAACCUUGGGCUUGCAGUGGGUACGGGCAGACUAGAGUGCGGUAGGGGUGACUGGAAUUCCUGGUGUAGCGGUGGAAUGCGCAGAUAUCAGGAGGAACACCGAUGGCGAAGGCAGGUCUCUGGGCAUUAACUGACGCUGAGGAGCGAAAGCAUGGGGAGCGAACAGG